rnacentral:pre_miRNA from 1 species
CAAGUACUCCCUCCGUCCAGAAUUACUUGUCAUCAAAAUGGAUGUGUCUAGAACUAAAAUACAUCUAGAUACAUCCAUUUCAAUGACAAGUAUUUCCGGACGGAGGGAGUACAAG